ACCUGUCAGCAGGUGGCGGACGUGUCUGCGGGCGCGCGCUAGAGGGCACGAGCAGUAAUCAUGGCAGGCGGUGAGAGAGUCGCUCAUCUGAUGCGCCAGCUCGCGAGCGCGGCGUGCAGAUGUCCCGCUCAUUCUCAAGCGUAUUCCCACACUUAUAACCGAGUAUCUGCAGGUGAGGCUCAUAUAUGUGAACGCAAAACAGACUACGCAUUUGAAAUGGCUUGUUCAAAUAUCAGAUUUGGAGCAGGAGUUACCAGAGAAAUUGGCAUGGAUUUGCAGAACAUGGGAGCACAUAAUGUGUGUCUGAUGACAGAUAAAACCCUGUCUCACCUGCCGCCGGUUGCAGCAGUGCUGGACUCAAUGACAAAACAUGGAGUCAAAUACAAGAUCUAUGAGGAUGUGCGAGUAGAACCAACCGACAAAAGCUUUAAAGCAGCAAUUGAUUUUGCCAAAAAAGGACAUUUUGAUGUGUAUGUUGCUGUGGGCGGGGGCUCUGUGAUUGACACCUGUAAAGCAGCCAAUCUCUAUGCAUCUCAUCCAGAGGCAGAAUUUCUAGACUUUGUCAAUGCCCCAAUUGGAAAAGGAAAACCCAUCACAGCCACACUGAAGCCAUUAAUCGCUGUUCCUACUACGGCUGGAACGGGGAGUGAAACCACAGGAGUGGCGAUCUUUGACUUUGAGGACAUGAAGGCCAAAACUGGUAUUGCAAAUCGAGCAUUAAAGCCUGCUUUAGGGAUGGUGGAUCCCCUACAUACUCUUCACAUGCCAUCCAGAGUUGCAGCUAACAGUGGGUUUGACGUGCUCUGUCAUGCAUUAGAGUCAUUCACUGCAUUGCCGUAUAACCUGAGAAGUCCCUGCCCACCCAACCCCAUAAAUCGCCCUGCUUACCAGGGCAGCAAUCCAAUCAGUGAUGUCUGGGCAAGACACGCUCUCAUGAUCGUUGCCAAAUACUUGAAACGGGCGGUGUGUGAUGCCGGAGAUGUGGAGGCUCGCACCAGUAUGCACCUGGCCAGUGUGUUUGCCGGAAUUGGCUUUGGCAAUGCAGGAGUCCAUUUAUGUCAUGGAAUGUCAUAUCCCAUUGCCGGGAAUGUUAAAACUCACAGGGCUAAAGGCUACAAUGUGGAACAUCCUAUAGUGCCCCACGGACUCUCUGUAGUUCUUACUUCACCUGCUGUUUUUGCCUUCACUGGAAAAAUGUGUCCUGAGCGCCACCUGGAGGCAGCACAAAUACUAGGUACUGAUUUGAGUAACAUCAAGAAAGAUGAUGCUGGCCGCGUGUUGGCGGACACUCUCAGGUCGUUUCUGUAUGACCUAGAAGUGGAGGACGGCUUGUCUGCAAUUGGCUACACUAAAGAAGACAUUCCAUCUUUGGUGAAGGGCACCAUCCCUCAGGAGCGGGUAACUAAACUGUCUCCUCGAGCUCACACUGAAGAAGAUCUGACCGGUCUGUUUGCUGCAUCCAUGAAGCUUUACUGAGCUCUUGAAGGACAUUUUAACAUGUUGAUGGUGUUCGCAGAAGCACAGCCUCAGAUUAGCUGUGCUGAUUUCAUUAUCAAAUCUACACGCAGAGCCAUGAAGAGUUUGAAGUGUUCACAACUGUGCUGUCUCCUCAAGUUUGUCGAAAGAGAGUGAUAUUCAAGCACGAAGGAGAAAUGAUGGUUGUGGCAGCAGACUACAGUGCAGACUGUGAUGAAGAGGUGUGUGUCCGUGCUGGUGAGGUCGUGUUGCUGCUGUAUCAAGAGAACGCUGACUGGUGUUACAUCCGACUUCAGAACGGAAAGGAGGGAUACCUGCCCACAGCCUGCUUUACUCUGAAGCAGGAGCCACUGAGGCCCAUCGUGACUCAGGAGGCGCAGAGCUCAAUGCAGGAGUCUUCUAAUAAUCGUAAUGGCUGUGCAGGAGGGCGCUCUCUGAAACUGCUGCGGCGGGCGUCUCUGUCAGGGGUGCCGGGUUCACCUCGAUUACUUAAGCGGCUGCUUUCUCGUCGACGUAGUGACGGACAUGCAGUUCGUUCGAUCGGCUCCAUAAAUCCAGCAUUUAAUCCUGACUGAUGCAUCCACCCUUAGAGCUCCACUUUUCCCUUUUAAAUGGGUCACAGAGCAGCAGAAACUAGGACAGCAUGACACUAAACGUUCAGUCCGUACGCAGCUCUUUCUUUGUGGAGGAGAUAAACGGAAGUUCGGUGUCCUGGUUAGGGGUUGGGGCCUCAGUAACUUGCCAGCUUGUGGAAUUGAAUCUGCUUCUGGUAUCAGGAGUCUUUACUAUUAGGUUACUGCCCCACAUGUAAAUAAAUACUAUAUGUAAAUAUUGUGGUUUUGAUUAAAAGACAUUUGAAUUUCAUUACACUGCAGUUUUAAUGGAAACAUCACACCCUUCGCCUAAGAAUAUAUUUGUUUGAAUAUAUGUAUUUAUUUAGUCUAAUAAUGCACAAAGACUACAAUGAUGUAGAUAUUGUUACAGUGUUUAAAUGUGAAAUGAGUCAGUAUGUAUGUAUGUAUACAGUAUAUUAAAAUGCUAUUAAAGAGGUAUUAUAGGGCGAAUGUACAACAUUUCGAUUUUCAUUUAAACCCUUUUUUUGUACGAGUCAUUCAAUUUUAUGUGGAUGGGGUCAACACACUGACUGACUG